UUUAUUGAGAGUUUGAUCCUGGCUCAGGACGAACGCUGGCGGCGUGCCUAAUACAUGCAAGUCGAGCGGACUGAUUCGGGGCUUGCUCCGAUGAGGUCAGCGGCGGACGGGUGAGUAACACGUGGGUAACCUGCCUGAUCGUCUGGGAUAACGCUUGGAAACGAGUGCUAAUACCGGAUAAUCUCUUGGAUCGCAUGGUUCGAGAGUAAAAGGAG
rnacentral:rRNA from 1 species